AAGUCUUCGGAUUGUAAAGUUCUUUUAUACGGGAAGAGAAGAAGACGGUACCGUAUGAAUAAGUCCCGGCUAACUACGUGCCGGCAGCCGCGGUAAUACGUAGGGGACGAGCGUUGUCCGGAAUUACUGGGCGUAAAGGGCAUGUAGGCUGUUUAUCAAGUCAGUAGUAAAAAGUUGAGGCUUAACCUUAACGAGCUAUUGAGACUGAUACACUGGAGUACUGAAGAGGCAAGGGGAAUUCCCAGUGUAGCGGUGAAAUGCGUAUAUAUUGGGAAGAACACCGGUGGCGAAGGCGACUUGCUGGUCAGUAACUGACGCUGAUGUGCGAAAGCCAGGGGAGCGAACGGGAUUAGAUACCCCGGUAGUCCUGGCUGUAAACGAUGAAUGCUAGGUGUGUGAGUA
rnacentral:rRNA from 1 species